rnacentral:rRNA from 1 species
GAACGCUGGCGGCGUGCUUAACACAUGCAAGUCGAACGCGAAAGGGGCUUCGGUCCUGAGUAAAGUGGCGCACGGGUGAGUAACGCGUGGAUAAUCUGCCCUUAUGAUCGGGAUAACAGUUGGAAACGGCUGCUAAUACCGGAUACGCUCAAAAUGAACUUUUUGAGGAAAGAUGGCCUCUGCUUGCAUGCUAUCACGUAAGGAUGAGUCCGCGUCCCAUUAGCUUGUGGCGGGGUAACGGCCCACCAAGGCAACGGAUGGGUAGCCGAUUUUGAGAGGAUGAUCGGCCACACUGGAACUGAAACACGGUCCAGACUCCUACGGGAGGCAGCAGUGGGGAAUAUUGCGCAAUGGGCGAAAGCCUGACGCAGCGACGCCGCGUGAGGGGAAUGAAGGUUUUUCGGAUCGUAAACCUCUGUCAGAAGGGAAGAAACUACGUUGUGCUAAUCAGCAGCGUACUGACGGUACCUUCAAAGGAAGCACCGGCUAACUCCGUGCCAGCCGCCGC